rnacentral:rRNA from 1 species
AUGUCAUCCACAUGCAACAUAAAGGCCAAUUCAUACUUCGCUGGACUAUAUUGUACUACUAUGCAUUGUUUGGCACGAACGUUCCUUGAAGCCCCUGUAUACAUGUAUACGUGGGAUGUGUGUGUGCGUGCGUGCGUGCAUGAUCGAGAUAAAAUAAAGAAGACAUAA